CAAACUUUUUUAAAUGGUGUUUAAAGUAUUCUAAUCCAACUCCUGAAGCUUGCUUCCUCCCAGCAGCCUUGGCUCUUGCUUCUCCUCUCUCCCUAAGUAUCCUUUAACCCAGCCUUUCUGAGCAUGAUGUUGAGGUUAAGAGCAGGGACUUUGGAACAAAAGCCUGGCUCUGCCACCCAAUGCCAAUACCAGUGACCUUGGGUAGUACAGAAUUCAAGAUAGAACAAAGAUGAAGAUGAGCACACUUUGGCAGGAUUCUACACUGGGUUUUCUCUGACCUCACAGGGAGGCCCGACACUGCAUGUUUUAUGGAUGAAGCCAGAAGCAUUUGCUGAUGAUUCCCAUCUGAGUCAUGUGAAAAAGAAAGGACUAUGUUGUUUUGAUCCAAGAAAACGCAAAAAAUGGUGUUUCUGUUAACUGAGAUGAGAACUCUUGGAGAAGACUUUGGAGUAGGGGAGCAAUCAGGAGCUUAGUUACAGACUUGGAAUGUCCUUUUUGAACUAAAAAAAUAUGGGAUGGAUUGCAAGUUCUUCUUUUGUGCAGCCAUCUUCAGAAUGACCAAUUAUUCUUUCUCAUUCAUCUGGAAGAGCGAGUAAGUACAAAAAGAAUACCACACACCACAAGGCUGUCAUCUCCUUCAAAUAAAAUUCUGAUGUCUGGC